rnacentral:rRNA from 1 species
AUGGCUCGCUAUGUAGAAGUAAUGUACCAUAUCAUGCACCAGACACCUCUACAGCUACAAACACUUCUGCUACUAUCGCUCAUCAUACUACUACUGCACCUGGCCACAACCAGCAAGCAAGCAAAGGCGAAGCGUCUCCCUCCUUCGCCUCCGGCCCUUCCCAUCAUAGGGCACCUGCACCUCGUCGGCGAUCUCCCUCACGUCUCCCUCCGCAGCCUCUCCAGGACUCAUGCCGCUGACGGCCUCAUGCUCCUCCACCUCGGCUCCGUCCCCAACCUCGUCGUGUCGUCCCCACGAGCCGCCCAGGCGGUCAUGCGGACGAACGACCACCUGUUCGCGUCCCGCCCGCCGUCCAGGAUCGCCGACGCCCUCCUGUACGGCUGGUCGUCCGACAUCGCCUUCUCCCCCUACGGCGAGCACUGGCGACAGGCGAGGAGGCUCGUCACCACGCACCUCUUCACAGUCAAAAAGGUCCAGUCGUUCCGCAUCGCCCGUCAGCAAGAGGUGAAAGUGGUGAUCUCCAGGAUCCGUGAGGCCGCGGCGGCGAGCGUGGCCGUCGACCUGGGCGAGGUGGUGAACACGUACGCGAACGAUGUGGUGUGCCGCGCUGUGUCGGGUAAGUUCUUCGGGGCGGAAGGCCGGAAUAAGAUGUUCAGAGAGCUGAUCGAAGCAAACUCGGCUCUCGUCGGAGGGUUUCAUAUGGAGGACUACUUCCCAAGGUUGGCCAAGGUACGUCUUCUCAGUAGGUUCGUCCGCAACAACGCCGAGACGGCACACAAGAGGUGGGACGAACUGCUAGAAGCGAUAAUAAGAGACCACGAGAAAAACCCGAUGCACCAUGGCAGGGAGAACGGUGUCGACGAGCAAGGAGAGAGUGACUUCAUCGACGUAUUGCUAUCGGUUCGGCAAGAGUUCCAUGGCAUCACCAGAGACCAUAUCAAGGCCAUCUUAAUGGACCUGUUCGGAGCGGGCACGGACACAUCGUCUCUGGUCCUAGAAUUCGCCAUGGCCGAGCUCAUGCGAAGACCUGAUCAACUCAUGGCCAAGCUGCAAGCUGAGGUGCGACGCGGUACUCCCGCCGGACAACAAUUUGUCGAGGAGCAUAACCUGGCCGGCAUGACCUAUCUGAAGGCCGUGGUGAAGGAGACGCUCAGGCUGCAUCCACCCGCGCCGCUCCUUCUCCCACACCUGGCGAUGGCGGACUGCGACCUCGACGGCUACAGCAUACCUUCUGAGACUCGAGUCAUCAUCAACGCAUGGGCUAUUGGCAGAGACCCCGGGUACUGGGACAAGCCGGACGACUUCGUGCCGGAGAGGUUCCUCGAGGGUGGCGCCGCGGCAGCGGUGGACUUGACGGGCAAGGACUUUCAGUUCGUGCCAUUCGGGGCUGGCCGGAGAAUAUGCCCCGGUCUCAACUUCGGGCUGGCUACUGUCGAGAUCAUGCUGGCGAACCUCGCAUACUGCUUCGACUGGGAGCUGCCGGUCGGCAUGGAGAGGGACGAUAAAAUCGAUAUGACGGAGGUGUUUGGUCUGACUGUCCGUAGGAAGGAGAAGCUCAUGCUUGUCCCCAACACCCACGUGGUUGCUUGA